CGGAAGCGGCCCUAGAAAAGGCAAAAAGACAAAAAAAAACCUAAAAAACAGUGUAAUGACAGAAAUCUGAUUAUGAUGUUUUAAGUAACAGGCUAAUUAUAAAUUCAGGUGUCGUCAUAGAGGGUCAAAGUGUUUAUUCCAAGGCCACUAUGAGUGGAUCUCUGAAAGGUUCUGGAGGUUUCUUUCAUGCACACCUUGUUUUUCUACAUGUCCCCUUGAUGGUGUGAAGAGGGCUGCCUGAGCGCUUCCUUGUCCAUCUGCUUAGCAGUUGGUAGCUCUGCUCUUUCACAGACAAGCCAGCAAACAGAAGUCAGUCCAAAAAAGAGUGGCAGGGCCUGGGGUCCAGGGAGGCCCCAAAGUGCAGUGGGAGCUCCUCAAAUACCAGGCUGGGGAGAGGGCUGUUCUGUCCUAUGCAGAGUGUGGCCUGUGUGGAGGAUGUGGGUCUGGACACCUCCCUGGCUGGCAGUGCCUGGGCUCUCGAGGCUCAUGCCAGGCUCCUUGAUCCCUGUCACUUCAGCUCCAGCCUGAUGGACAGCUCCCCGGGUCAUCAGCAGCCUCUGGAGAUUGCCCAGCACACACAGCCAGGGCACAGGACGGGGUCCCACAGGCCUCAUCAGUGGAGACAUCCCGCCUCCUGUCAUCUCUCAGUGCCAUGCUGAGCCCCGCUGCCCAGGGUGGAUACCAGUGGGACCACUGACCAUCUCCUGCUGCCUCCUCCAGGACAGCUCCAGGUACUUAUUGUGGCAACAGACUUGGGUCUAAGAAAGACAUCACCAUUGCUCAGAUAACAGGCACAACAGUUGGGAGUCUUUCUGUGUAGAACUGGGAAUCAUGUUGAAAAGUAAGUGGAUUAUCAUAGCUCAUGUGAACAACUAAAAAGUUUAAAUGCAGCUGUGCUUUUUCAUUAUAAAGCAGCCUACUGAAAAUUGAACUAAAUGCUAUGGAUAAUAUUGUACAUAUUUGAAAACAGCUUUUACACCAGAAAGUGAGAUAUUGGAAAGCCAUAAAAUGAAAAAUAGCAAUAUACCAGCAAGCACAUGAAAAUGAACCAGUGACAUUAACAGUAAAGUUUCAGCCUCCAUCAGUUCUGUGGAAAGGAAGCAAUGGUGUGGUAACAGAUGUCCAGAGUCUCAAACAUCCACUCUGUUUGGCCUUCCUCCCAAGAGGUGGGACCUGGGGCAGUGUUUGACAAGCCGGGUCCUUGGCCCUUGAGCUGAACCACCAAGGCCACUGCACACACAGAUCUGCAUCUUCCCAUGAAAAGUUGAUCCAAGAAGGCCUGACUUCUGCUCCGUUCGCAUCAAGAGUUGCAGAGAUGUUUUCAGUUUAAGAACAGUCAGUAACUUGUUUUCUGGAGGACAAGGGUAUGAGUCCAUUGUGCACGUACAGCACAGAGCAAAUCACAGAAUUCAUUGGAGUUAACAUCCUCUGAUGACAGAGUAGACUGGAGACAUCGGAUGGGCGGAACUUGACUGAUGGCCUCUGUGGACAGCACUGGGAAGCUCCAUGCUCAUACCCACGAUUCACUGGUUGACAGAGCAAACGCUGUCAUGGGCUUCUCUGUUUUUAAUAUUAAAAUGUUUGAAGACAAAUGCAGAGGCCACAGUGAGACACUAAAAACGGAGUUGGAAGCAGAUGGUGUGUCAGAGGAUGUCUGUGACGUGCAACAUGGUCCCCAGUUGGCAGCAAAACCUACUUUGGUUCUGGGGUCAUGAUCACCGGGAUACCCCAAAAGGGAAGACUUGGCCUGAGAGCCAGCCAGCUAAUUAGAACCGGUAACAAAGCUGUUUCUGAGAGUGAGGCUUCUGUCAAGUGCACUGAUUUGUCCUGAGUUAUUUUUCCUGCAAAUGCUACUGCUUGUCCAUUGGUUCCACAGCUUCAGUUUGUCAGAAAGGCACAGAGACAGAUGGUCACAAAGGCAUCUGGGCUGCCAGCCAGUGUGCUUGCCCUGAGAGGUUCUGCCACGGGACCUGCCCUUUCAUUCUACAACAUGGGAUAUAAGGUCCCUUCAAGUUGAAAAAUCAGUAUUUUUUCCUAACUAAUACUGGUCCAACUGAGCAUUUACUGAAGGGAUUAAAAUAAGCAUCUGAUGGGACUAAAAAGCUGUGGGAUUUUUUUAAAUUAUUUCAUUAGAAGUAUUUUCACAAUGCAGAUUCAAGUCUGAUUGCUAUAUAUUUGCUGGCCAUAGGCUGUGGCUUGCUUGUUCGGACUUGUUGCCCGUGCGUUAUAAUAUUGAUGCUUAGUAGGAAAAUGAACUACAUAGGCUUUUUAUCUGUGUGCAUCCUUUUGCAAAUUCCUUACAAAAGAGGACAAAGCAUAUAGGCAUUUAAAAAUUCUAUGCCAUUUCUGUUAAAAUUGGUAUCUAUACAUUAGAUUGCAGUGUAAAGAAAUGUUUAUUCUACCCAUUGGGUAGGAAAUGAGUGUAAUGUUUUCACUUGGCAUUCAGCACCUUACACAUGAAAACCUAAGACAGGCCCCGAAAAGCACCAUUGUAGGUCAGGCACACAGAGGUGGGGCCUGGUUCCCACAUCUGCUGAAGACACCUGGACCACUUAAAACUACUGCCUCCCCGAGCUCUUUAAAGGACUGUUCUACGUAGCCGGCCUCUAGGGCUCCCACCCCAGCACGUGCCCCACACCCACCAUAAGUCACCCACACUGAGAACAGUGCUACCUGGCCUCUGUGGCUCCCACCCCAGCACUUCGCAUGCGCGCGCGCACACACACACACACCCCCCACCAUGUGUCACACACACUGAGAACAGUGCUGCCUGUACGGCUCCCUCUCUGUGAGUGAGCUUUCUCACUCGGCUGACCUGGAAGAUAGCAGCAGUGGCAGCAGGUUAUCCCAGCCGUGAAUGUGAACUUGAACUGUGCAAGAUGCAGCCAUGUGGGAGGUGAAACCACCUAAGCUAAAAUCCUAACUCCUAUAAAGGGCUGGCAAGGAUGUCCACAGCCACCCACGUCUCUGGGACCUGCAUGAGACCUGGGUGAGAGCAAUUCCUUCAUCUGCAUUUGCUAUGUCCCUUUAGAGACACUGUCCUUACACUGCGGGGACUUGGCAAUGCGUCUGCACAUUGCCAAGGCUGUCGUGACUGGGGAACAGGCUGAGCAGAGGGGGAGCCUGGUUCCUGCUCUUCUGUCAAGGUUGGGGGUAUGGGGGUGGUAAGGCCCUCAUCCAGCACUGGUGCAUUUCUGGUUUCAAUGUAUAGACAAGAUCCAAACACUAACAAAAGCCAAGUAUCCUUCCCAGUUUUUCCUUCACAGACACGGAGGUGUGGGGAGCAUCCCCCAGCCCCUGCCUGCGGCAGGACCCACCAGGAUGGCAGCCUGUGGCCAUGACAGGGGGAGCUGCUAUGGAAGGUGGAGAUGGAAAUGGACUCUGUCCGCCCUGAGCAGCUUUCUGACAGUGCUUUGCCUCUGAGGCCGUCUCGUGCACCUGGACAAGAAGAUCCAGGUAAGUGAGGAUGGAGGUGAUAACCUGAAGCUCAAGAUGCACUCAUCUGAUUGCAGGUCUCCUUGCUCAUGAGGAAGGUUCCCACCUUCCUGCUAGCCCAUGUUCUCUCCCAGCAAGGGUGACUGGGUUUAAGUGUCGUCCUCAUGACAAACCUUCCUAAGCUCUGCCCCUCAGCUGUACUUGGGCUGUGUGUCCAAGGAUAUCUAUGGUGCAGUGGUCAGAAGGUAUGCUUGUCAAGGUUUUUUUAAUAAUGAAUUUUGGUCAUGGAAGAGAUAACUUGGUAAAUGCAUAAUUUGUUUAGCAGAAUAUUCUCUGUACUAAAGGGCGGCCUUAGUGUCUGAGGAACAAGGCUUUCUGAAAAAGCCAGUAGGUGCUGGAUGUUCCUGUAAACAGGACUCGGUGUGUCUGGGCUUCAUGCCCUGUGAGUUGCUAGGACAAAGAAGUCACGGAGCCCCACUCCCACCCACUGCUCACCAAUGGCCUAAAACCUUGGUUUCUAAACUGGACCCGCGGGCUCCACCAUCAUCCUGAACGUUAGGCCCCAAUGACCAACAUGUGUCUUCACGGUUGCUCUUCCUUCUGCAGCAGGCUGGCUGCAGCCUUUGAAGGAACAGAGGUCCAAAGCACCUUCUCCCUGUGUGUCUGAGAAUUGACGGUCCAAUUUAUGACCCUGGCUUUUAAACUAAUUCUUAUGGAGGUCCAGCCUCAGAGACCAUUCGAGUCCUGGUCUGAUGCAUCUGCAUCUUCAAACAACAAUUUCCAUCAGAGGCAGUUCUCUAGGGUGGUGAAGGGAGCAACCUCUGUCCAGAAGGAUAACUGACGUUACUUGAAUUCAGUGUUCGGCUAGGCCUGUGGACACCUGCCAAACAUCCACUCACUUACAAGUGACUACAGGCUUCCUGUGCUUCACCCACCCGCUCCAGCAAAGUGUAGCUUUGGAACCAAGACACCAUCAGCACUGCUCCUCAUGCUGCAUCAAGGGGGAUGCCUGGCCAAUAAUCUGCCCAAGCCCCCCAGGGGGUCCUAGCUAGACAGACAUCUUCACUGGCGGUGUGAAAGGAAGUCUCAUGCCCCUCGAGUCCACCUCCCUCAGGCAAGGUUCCCAUGGCCCUCAGCUGACGUGUCAGGGGCCAUCUCUGUGUGUCCUGGGGAUCUCGCCACAGCCCUCACUGAGCACGCUGCCCAGCAGGGCUGGAGCGUAGUGACAGCCACUGACCACCUUCUCUCCUGGAGUCUGGCUAGUGCUGUGGAUGUUUCUGAGAGAGGUGUCCUCCAAACCAGACCCAACCCAGGGACCUACCGAGCAGGGGGAGCCUAGGAGAGGAGUGGUGGGUGGGACUAGCAGUGGCAGUAUAAGGUCCCCCACCGGGCAGCCACCUCUAAGACCAGGACAUGGGACACUCAAACUGCAGCUCAGAAUCCCUGUGAGAGCAGUCAGGGGGCUGCAGAAGAGCCCCCACCCUCACCCUGGGUGCACCAAAGGGAGUGAGCAAGUAACAAGUCUCCUGGUUUACAGGAGAAAUGUUUGUAAAUGUACACAGUAGCCAACUCAGACUAACAGCAUUUCAGGUUAGUUUUCUAGUUGCAUUUUGGCUGCAGCUUGUGCUUUUUGUCCUGUGCAGAGUCUAGCCUCCCUCACACAAGGCUUCCCGUGCGGGCCAGCGUGCUGUGCGGGAGGACUGCCAACUGUCGUACUAACCAGCCAUCCCGGCCUGAGCUCAGUUUUCCAGGAAAGGGGCAAACACAGGAACACGCUGAGCAGUCACGGGUUUCAACAGUAUACAAAUAACCACCUUGCAUUUUAAACAAUUUAUUGCAUAAAAUAACGUGUGUAUCUGA